CUACCAUGUGCCUGGCACUGUUCUCUUAAAACCAAUUACUGAGAGUUGGGUGGUAUAAUCCCAUUACUUGCCUAAGCUCACACUGCAAGUAAAUGACUGAGUAGAAAUUGAAGCCUACAUUUGUCUUGUUCCUACCCCAUGCUUUUUCCACUGUGUUAUUGUGUCUCACCAGGAGGAGACUAUAGUGAGUAGUAUUAGUGUGUAGUUAUAGUGAUCUUUUAUAAUGUAUUCAGAGUUUAACCUGUUCCUUUUAGGUUCUCUCAUCAAUCUGAUUUACUCUUUUUUUUAGACACCAUUACAAAUAAAUUGCAUUUGCAAAAAAUUAAUGAUUUUGUAUUAUCACCUGGACCCCAACCAUACAAGGUGGCUGUCUAUGUUCCAGGAAGUAAAGGUGCACCUUCAUUUGUUAGAUUAUAUCAGUACCCCAACUUUGCUGGACCUCAUGCAGCUUUAGCUAAUAAAAGUUUCUUUAAGGCAGAUAAAGUUACAAUGCUGUGGAAUAAAAAAGCUACUGCUGUGUUGGUAAUAGCUAGCACAGAUGUUGACAAGACA
rnacentral:sRNA from 1 species